AACGCACGAGACCUGCGGACCUGCGGAGGGAUCAUUAAUGAGAAGCUGCCCCUCGUGGGUAGACCUCCCACCCUCUGUGAACUUACUUUUGUUGCUUUGGCAGGCCCGUCCUCUGGACCGCCGGCUUCGGCUGGCCCGUGCCUGCCAGAGGAUUCCAAACCCUGUCUGUCAGUGUUGUCUGAGUCUAUAUGAAAUCGUUAAAACUUUCAACAACGGAUCUCUAGAUCGGAAGAGCACACG
rnacentral:misc_RNA from 1 species